rnacentral:hammerhead_ribozyme from 1 species
ACUACACUGAUGAGUCCCAUAAGACGAAACGGUACCGUCUGUAGU